rnacentral:SRP_RNA from 1 species
GCUGGGCGUGGUGAUGUGCACCUGUAGUCCCAACUACCUGGGAGGCUGAGGCAGGAGAAUCACUUGAACCCAGGAGGUGGAGGUUGCAGUGAGCUGAGAUCACGCCACUGCACUCCAGCCUGGGUGACAGAGUGAGACUCUGUCUCAA